rnacentral:rRNA from 1 species
UACGAAGGGGGCUAGCGUUGUUCGGAAUUACUGGGCGUAAAGCGCGCGCAGGCGGUCUUCCAAGUCAGUGGUGAAAGCCCGGAGCUCAACUCCGGAACUGCCAUUGAAACUGUUGGACUUGAGGACGAGAGAGGUGAGUGGAAUUCCCAGUGUAGGGGUGAAAUUCGUAGAUAUUGGGAAGAACACCGGUGGCGAAGGCGGCUCACUGGCUCGUUUCUGACGCUCAGGCGCGAAAGCGUGGGGAUCAAACAGG